rnacentral:sRNA from 1 species
UUGCUAAAACCAACAAAAAAUUGCUUAGGAGCAGUAAACAGUUUUUUUAGUGUUUUAUGGUCAAAAUGUGUUAGAACCCAAUGCAUUCGACUAAUUAUAAGAGUUAGAGAUGGAUUAGGAGUGCUUAAACAACACUUAUACCCAUUUUCUCCCAAAAGAGGCUAAAACCAAAAAAAAAUUGCUUAAAAGCAGUAAACAGUUUUGUUAGUGUUUUUAUGGCCAAAAUGUGUCAAAAUCCAAUGCCUUUGACUAAUUAUAAGAGUUAGAGAUGGAUUAGGAGUGUUUAGACAACACUUAUACCCAUUUUCUCCUAAAAGAGG